rnacentral:rRNA from 1 species
AGAGUUUGAUUAUGGCUCAGGAUGAACGCUGGUGGCGUGCUUAACACAUGCAAGUCGAACGGAAAGGCCACAGCUUGCUGUGGUACUCGAGUGGCGAACGGGUGAGUAACACGUGGGUGAUCUGCCCUGUACUUCGGGAUAAGCUUGGGAAACUGGGUCUAAUACCGGAUAUGACCACUUUUUGGAUGGGGUGGUGGAAAGCUUUUGCGGUAUGGGAUGAGCUCGCGGCCUAUCAGCUUGUUGGUGGGGUAAUGGCCUACCAAGGCGUCGACGGGUAGCCGGCCUGAGAGGGUGUACGGCCACAUUGGGACUGAGAUACGGCCCAGACUCCUACGGGAGGCAGCAGUGGGGAAUAUUGCACAAUGGGCGCAAGCCUGAUGCAGCGACGCCGCGUGGGGGAUGACGGCCUUCGGGUUGUAAACUCCUUUCGUCAGGGACGAAGCGUAAGUGACGGUACCUGGAUAAGAAGCACCGGCUAACUACGUGCCAGCAGCCGCGGUAAUACGUAGGGUGCGAGCGUUGUCCGGAAUUACUGGGCGUAAAGAGCUCGUAGGUGGUUUGUCGCGUCGUUUGUGUAAGUCCACGGCUUAACUGUGGGAUGGCAGGCGAUACGGGCAUAACUUGAGUGCUGUAGGGGAGACUGGAAUUCCUGGUGUAGCGGUGAAAUGCGCAGAUAUCAGGAGGAACACCGAUGGCGAAGGCAGGUCUCUGGGCAGUAACUGACGCUGAGGAGCGAAAGCAUGGGUAGCGAACAGGAUUAGAUACCCUGGUAGUCCAUGCCGUAAACGGUGGGCGCUAGGUGUGAGUCCCUUCCACGGGGUUCGUGCCGUAGCUAACGCAUUAAGCGCCCCGCCUGGGGAGUACGGCCGCAAGGCUAAAACUCAAAGGAAUUGACGGGGGCCCGCACAAGCGGCGGAGCAUGUGGAUUAAUUCGAUGCAACGCGAAGAACCUUACCUGGGCUUGACAUACACCAGAUCGGCGCAGAGAUGCGUUUUCCCUUGUGGUUGGUGUACAGGUGGUGCAUGGUUGUCGUCAGCUCGUGUCGUGAGAUGUUGGGUUAAGUCCCGCAACGAGCGCAACCCU